AUAAUAUGAGUUUGGAAAGUAGAAAUCACUCUAAAAGUGUACAUCCAUAGUGAUAGUGGGGAUAUUUAGAGCUGUCAGAAAUACAGAUAUGGGUGCAACAAGGAAUACACAGGAUUAGAAAGGAUUCCACUGAUAUAUGCAACUCGAAGACAGAAUUAGUCCAUCACAGGUGGUGGUUUCUAAAACCUCUGUGUGAGCUGAUGCCUGAGACGAGUAAGGGACAAAAUGCUUCGUUACCUGAAUGCAGACAGGCAUACACUGGAAAUGUCCUGGGCAAACUGGGUAUGAGUUCAAACUAACAACACAGUUCCACAUUUCUCAGAUUCAGCGCAGGGAUGUGCUCCCUGUCACGGUGUCCUGAUGGCCAAGGUGCUUUCCACCUAAGGCACGACCUCCGUCACAUCUACUACGGACAAACUUCCACUUCUGAUUCCCUCUGCCCUCCCUCCCUUCCUGCCAAAGGGUUCACAGAGGCUCAGGUCAUCCUUAAGGUUUGCACAUCCAUCCCUUAUAGAAGUCAUCACGGGGGGCUGACAAAAGCCAAAUCACUGGGCUACCACUGUGUCUUCUUGCAUGACUGUAGUGACGCCAUUAAAAUAAUGGUCUGUUCCAUGGUCUAAAUCUUAAGUUCUGGAUUUCAAAAUGCUUUAUAAAUUGCUGAACUUUCUGUACCGCUUUAUUCACUGUUUACAAAGCCACAGACAUUCUGUGAUUACUUUCUGCACAACCAUAACUUGCUUUUCUGAGCCAGACAGCACCAUCAGCGGUACCAAGGAGAAGAGUCACCAGUCUGUCUCCUGCACUAGAUCCCAAGCCAGGGGCACCAGGCUUUGUCAGUUUCACUGCCGUCCCUUUAUGCCUGCAUGUGAGAGACCUAGAAGAAGCCUUUGCAGAAUGAAAAAUAUAAACCAUUAUAUUUCACUCUUCUACUUGGCCCUAAAGACCAUCAUAGAUUGUCAUUGGUUCGUUACUGGGAAAUAGAAUCUAAAAUAUUUAAAGUAAUUGACUUUUUUCCCUGUAUAAACAACUUCAGAGAUAAGCUAAGGGUGAACAUACUAUCUUUACGUUUCCCUUCACAUACACUGGGGAGAAAAGGGAGGGGUGUUUGAGAAGAUGCAGCUAUAAUCUUUCCCAGCCGAAAUACCUAAUUACACUCAGGUCUUGAAUCCCUAAGUUAGCAUAUUUUGCCCAUUCAUUGCUCAAUAAAUAUUAAUUGGUGGCGAUGGGUUAUAAUUUAGCAUGUGUAUAAUAUAUAAUUUACCUGUAACCUAUAAUUAUCUUAAAUGUUCAAAUAAGGGAAUUGAUUGGACUGAAAAGAAAAUAACUUAUUUAACUUUAAAAAUGUUGUUAUGAUCUAACUCUUCAUAAAAUCACCCACCUUCAGACAUCAUUUCACUUAAGUAGGCUGACUACUAUAUGCCACGUUCCAACUCAAGGAAGACAAGGUGGCCGCUGAUUCUGAGCUCAGCUUUGUGUAUGCUCUAACCUUCUCUCGUGUAUUAGAAAUAUUCUGUGAUAUGUGCCCAGCUCAGAAUGGUCACUUUCCAUGAGAACUGUCUCCUCCACACACAAGGAUAAGCCCCCAGUAGCCCACAUUUGUUUUACUUGACCUUACCUUCUUGGCCAUAAAUGACUGGACCAGAGGUAGACUCUUUUUUUUUUUUUUCCUUUUUCCAUGUCAACAUUGUAUUUGUCAUUACUAUUUACCAAUGGGGAAAUGCACUUUAUUUACAGCAGCAGCCAGAGGGCAAAGUGAAUACGCUACCCUCUGGCUGUUGGUGCUAGCUAGUUAGCUCUUGAGGGUGGACCCUUAAGCCAAAUCCAACUGAUUAUCUUUCCUAGGAAUAUGGAAUAAGAAUUGAUACCCUGGCAGCUAUCUUCUGUCGUACAUAUAUCAUACAUGUACACACACACACACACACACACACACAGGAGGAAGGAGUUCCUGGUUUUUGGCUCCCUGAUGGCUUUCCACAUUCUUCUAUGCCCUUGAAAGGCCCAGAUGCCCUAUGUCCCCAAGUUAACACCAGCAUAUUGACAACCAAUCCACCUUCACCCCAACUACCUCUUUCUAAAAUUAGCUAUAACUGGUUUCUGUUGUUUGCAAUCAAUAGAAUCCCCUCCUAGACUCCAAUGAACACUUAUUCAAAUCAAGACUAGAGAUUCCUCUGCCACUCACCAUGUUUCCCCAAGAAGACUCUGUAAUCUUUGCCCUCUGUCUACCCUCCAAGCUCAGUUGUUAUUUUUUUGGUUUUUUUUUCAAAUGAACAAGCAUAAGUCAUUAUGUACAACUUUAUUAAUUCCUAUUGGUAGAGAUGAGAAUAAAAUGUGGUCAUUGUUCUCAGACAGCCAAGUAUGGCUCCAGAGAAGACAGCAGGAGUAACCGUGUAGCAGCUGCCUUAGGACUCACAACCGUGAUUCAUGCCAGAGGGAGCAUUAAAUGGUGNNNNNNNNNNNNNNNNNNNNNCCUCUAGCUCUGCACAUAUACCUACCUGGACAUCUGACAACGUGAUGGAGAUAUACACAUGAACACAGUGGAAAAGAGAGGGAAGCACAGAGGCCAAACCGGUGCUCUCUCUGUGACAUCUUCAUUCUCCACACCUCUGGGGUCUUUCAGAAGCAGCAGGAAGCAUUCAACCCUAGCAGCCCUCCCAUGGAGCUGCAAUCAGAAUUGCCAUUCAGAUCCAUCUUUCAGGGCUCCUUGCUUUGCACUUCUAUUAUUGUUUCAUGAAACUUUAAAACUUUCCACCUUCCUUCAUUGUAGUCAACUUUAAAUAAAUUCAGAGUGUCACUUGUUAAAAUAAAUGACAUUUAAACAACCUCAGCAUGGUAACUCAUUCCUCAUUAUCAUAGAGAGCUCUUCUGAAAGGUCUAUAGUACAUUAUCUCUACGAAAUGGAUUUUACCUUCAAUAUUAACCUCAUUGCUCAGAAAGGACAGGUGCUAAGCACUCUGGUGAGAGGUGGUGUAGAAAUGCACAGAUAGAUUGAUAGAACUGAGCAAGUGAUGAUGAUCUAAGACAAAAGCAGGGAAAAGGUUUAGGUUAAAUAUUAGGUAGCAAAGCCAAGCCGCAAGAGAGCUGUAAUGAUUGAGCAAGCUGCCAUGGAAGACGGAAGAACAUUUUCAUUAUUUGAGCUACUCAGAGCUCACCAGAGCUGUGCUUUCGGUGAAAGAGAAGCCACCUGAGGGGCGUGGCUGGUCACUCCAUCGCACCU
ensembl:lncRNA